UGAGUGAGUGAGUGAGUGAGUGAGUGAGUGAGUGAGUGAGUGAGUGUGUGUGUGUGUGUGUGUGUUUGUGUGUGUGUGUGUGUGUCAUGUGGGAAGUAAACAAUCCCGUGGAGAAGCCCAGGGAGCAUGGGGCUUCAGAGAGGGAGCCAGAAGAGGCUCCUGAAGAGAAGUGUGCCGACGAUGGGGAAGCACGGGACAGAAGAAGAUCAGAACAGCCUGUGGAGACGGCAGAGGCACUACGAAUGAAGGAAAGAGGAGCAAGCCCAUGGCGACACACAGGAUAGCAGGAGGAGCAACAUGGUCCAUCCAGCCGGAAAGGAGGAGUAAGGAUGGGGUGUAGGGGUGGCGGAGCCCCGUAAGAGACCAUCGAGCAGAGCGCACCCGACCGAGUGACCCCGAGGAGGCAGCCCCCACUGGGAAUAUUCAAAGUCGUGGCAGACGAGACACGGGCGGUCUGCCUCGGGAGAGAACAGCUACUUGAGCAGCAACCAGAGCGGACAAGGAGAACAUCACCCACCAUACGUGGGAAAGCCGCUCAAGACUGGGUGUUUGAGUCCCGUUGGUCACAACAUACAUAUAGAUGAAUGUGUAUAAUAUGACUGCUCUUGGAAGAGCUGAGGACCACAGUUGAUGAGACCCACCAUUACAGUCCCUGAUCCUCCAAAUUAAGACCUUAAAAUCUAUUUCCUCCUAAAUAACAUGGCAAUUGAAUCAA